AGAAAAUAAAAAAAAAAUAAAAUUUUCGAGUUAUACUAAAACUAUGCAAGGAAGGAGAAAAAAACAAGAAGAUAGAUAUGUAAUCAUUACAGAUCUUACAAAAUAUAUAAAUCCAAAUGAUUACAAAACAUUAUUUUUAUAUAAACAAAACCCUUUUACCUUUUAUGCAAUUUUUGACGGUCAUAGAGGAAUAAAAGCAUGUGAGUUUUGUAUGACUAAUAUGGUUAAAAAUAUAAUUUAUUAUUUUUAUAGUCAAGAUGAUUCGAAGAGUGAAGAAAUACAUCAGAUGAUGGAAAAGGAAACUAUGAAUAAUAAUAUGGAAGUUGUUUCGAAUUGUAGUUAUAUUGUUAACGAGAGUGACAAAUCGGAUAUUGAAGUUAAUCCUUUGGAUAAACAUGUUAGCGGGGAUGUUAACAUCAGCGAUAACAGUAGCAGUAAUAGUAAUUAUUAUGCUAAAGAAUUGAUUAAAAAAUGUGAAAUAAAACCAACUGAUAGUAGUAAUAAUGAGCAUAUUGAUAACGAAUAUAAUAACUCUGAACAUACAAAAAAUAGUAAUAAUUUACAAAAAAAUGAAGAAAAUACAGAAAAUACAGAAAAAAAUGAACAAGAAUUUUGUAAAAAAAAAAGAAAAAAAAGUAACACUAACAACCUAAGUGAUGAGCAAACGGAUAUUCAUUUUGUAAAAAGCAGUAAUUGUUAUUUAGAAGAUUAUAAAAAAAUAAAAAUUAAUGAUAAAAAGUGUGUUCAAUCUGAUAGUAAUGCACAUGUUAUGAAAAAUGAAUAUGACAACAGUAAAGACAUAACUGAUUGUGAGAGUUUUGUCGGUGAUGUUAGUACGACCCUACAUUGCGACAAAACAAAUAAUUGCGAAAAUGCAAACGAAAGUGAAAGCGAAAACGGAAAUGAAAAUGUAAACAAAAAUGAAAACGUAAACAAAAAUGAAAACGAAAAUAGAAACGAAAAUGGAAACACCAAAUCAAAUGAAAAAAAUAAUAUAACAGUAGCAAACCAUAAUAAAAAAAUAAAAUUUUUAAAUGACUUAACAGAUGAAGAAAUAAUAAAUUACAUAAAGUUAGCUUUUAUAAAAACAGAUGAACAAUUCUUAAAUGUAUCUAAAUAUCCUAAGCAUGGAUGUACAGUCAUAUCCUUAAUUUUUUUAAAAAAUAAAAUGUUCGUUGUAAAUUUAGGAGAUUGUAGAGCUAUUGGUAUCGUCAAUAUAAACAACACUAUGCAAGCAGAAGCGCUUUCGCACGAUCACAAACCAAAUGACCCGAAGGAAAAAGAAAGGAUAAAAAAAUGUGGCGGCGACGUGAUCUGUUUACAGAAUGUUUAUAGGGUAAAAGCAAAUGUGAAGAAGACAAGCCAUGAUAAUACAAAUUUACUUAACAGAGUAGCUAUGAAAGAUGAGGUGUUUCUAGCUGUCUCAAGAGCUAUAGGAAACAAGGAUUUUAAAUAUAACCAUGUUAUAUCUUCCACACCUGACGUUAUAUGUAAAGAAAUAUAUAAUGAUAACAUAAAUGAUAAAAGUAAUUACGAAAAAUGUGAAAAUAAAUGUACUCAGCUAAAUAUGGAACAAAAAAAAGAAGAAGCACAUUUUGAUAAAGAAGAUAAUGAUUUAUAUUAUUCUGCCAAAGAAGUGAAAUUUCAUUUUGUUGUUAUGGCAUGUGAUGGAGUAUGGGACACAUUAUCAAAUAAGGUAUGUAUAUGUAAGUGCUUAUUCAUAAGGAAUAUAUUCACUUAUUUAUUUGAC
ensembl:lncRNA